CCCACUGCAAAAGACCUGGGGCUCAGACUCAGGCCACAGGCGCUACCCUGCCCACCCCCACUCUCACCCUCACACCUGUAACAACUCCCCUGCUGGUUCUUACUGUUUUCUAAGGCUGCAGUCCAAUGCAUGUCUACUGAGAAGUAAACUCCAUUGGGUUCAGAAGAUGGGCUUCAAACUGUUUGGUUCCCUGAACAACUGGACAUACCAGGAAGGGCUGAACUAAUAUAUUUCAAAGCAAAGAAGGAUGCAGUCAUCAAAGGCAAGAACCGCACCUUUUGGAUUUUAUAAUGCAGCAGCGGCAUGACCACAAACCAAAUCUAUUAUGUUGAGUCAAGGAAUGAGCAUUCAAUGGUUGUUGGAGGAAACAUCAGCUAAACCUGACAAUCAUUUUAUGAAUUAGUUCUCUUUCUCUCUAGAACAGGGUAGGGAACCUCUGACCUUCUAUAGGAAGCUGCCUUAUACUGAAUCUAGCCUGUAUUGUUCGCUGGCAGCAGCUCUUCAGACAGGGGACACUCUUAGCCCAGCCCUACCUGGAGAUGCCUGGAAUUGAACCUGGGGCCUUUUGCAUACUAGGGCCCUCUUAUUCCAAGAGUCACAAAUUAGAUGGAUAAACUAAACAUGCAAUUUUAAAAUUGGGUUGAAGGAGGGAAGAUCUUAAUACUCUACUCACUGAGAAAUGUUUGUGUUUGUACUGCAAGGAAAUCCAGAGUUAUUAUAGCAUCAUGUAUCCCACAGGCAUACUUUGUUCUGUAGCCACUGGUGAUGUGCAACUCCACCUCUGCUCAGAAAACAUUCCUUUACUGUUCCCAGCUUAAAAUCUGGUGUCUGAAUGCCCAGCCAUUGGGGAAGGGCUAUGCUCCCUUAUGCUGUGUAAUCACACUCUGUAAUACAUGUGCUCUCCUGUAUAUGUGCUGAAUCCCCUCCUCUUUCCCCCUAAUAAGUUAUUUUCCAAAUGUACCAUCACUCAUGAAUUCAAGCACUUUUUUGGAAUUGUAUCCUCAGAAAUAUUUACUCUAAAUGUAGUGCAGAUGUUGCUGGGUCUACCCAGCAUAGCCAAUGGUCAGAGAUGAUGGUGUUGGGAGAUCCAUAGGUUCCCCUCCCCUGCUCUACAGAAUGUCUUGGAUGUAGCCUGUUCAGCUCAGCAGGUCACAUAGGUCAAGCAAAGAUGAUAGGUCACAUGAUUUGCUAGCACUUUUACUAGCAAAUCACUUACACAAAGUAAUCAUAUUUAAUUGGUCCGAUUUCACUGGGACUUACUUCCUUGAAAGCAUGCUUAGGCUUGCAACCCUGUUUGUGUUCUUUUCAAAGGAAAAGCCUUGUCGUGUGAACCCUAUUUUAGCCAUGAUCAUGUGAAUUUGGAUGACAUUUUUCUUUUGCUGUUUUAGCAUUUGGCUGAUACCUUUCAACCACACAGUCUGUAGACCUUUUUAAAAAAAAUACAAUAUUAUAUUUUUCAGUUUUAAGAGCAUUUCUUGAUUUGUAGGUUUUCCAAUGUGUUGGCAUCAUUUUGUUCCUUUGUAAUAUAACUCAUUCUCAUCUUCUUCAUUAUCCUACUUCUUUGAAAAAAAUAACACAGAAACAAAAAAUAUACAAAAAGGUUGUUAUG